ensembl:lncRNA
UCCUCUCACCUUCUCUGCUUUCAUUUCCCCCAGGGCCCCAGCUUCAUCCUGUCACUGCUGCUGGACCAGAGCCAGUGAAGGCCAUCUCUUAGGGCUCCCCACAACUCCUUAACUGAGGUCCUGUUUGCCUCUGUUUUUAAAUUCUUGAGGUAGGGCAUCCACCACAUAAGCCAGCCUCUUUUGAGCUAAAACCAAUCACCUUCCAUAGGAUAAUUUGUAUUUCAUACAAAAGACCCUCUCCCCACUAAGCCAGAACAGGGAGGGACAAUGGGGGUGGACACUGUGUUGAAUCUACAGAAAAUAUAUGGAGGAAUUUCCUACUCAAGUCCCCACACUGAAGCCUGGCAUAGAGGCCAUUCCGUGGCUUUCUUUAUAAGGUCACCCAACAUGAAGCUUAAGCCCCUGAGGUCUAAUUAGGAGGGUUAAGUGUUUAACAGAGGAUUCACAUUGCUGAAGAGCAACUGGAUGGAAGCAUCAUACUCUGCCCCCCUCGGCAUUCUAAUUCUAACAGCAUUGAAAGUCCUGUCAUCCCCGUGAGUCAGUGAGCAGCCAGGCUCAGUCUGUCCCUGUGACACCCAUCACUGGAUGUGUUUGGCUUUGCCGGCCAUAUGGCAGCUCAGAAGAGCUCUUUUGUAGUUUGAUGAUCUGGAAACUACUAAGGUUCUCUUGACAUUCUGUGUUGCUGGCUCGUUUCUGUUUGGGAAGAGCGGAUGCUGCUAGGGCUUACCUUGCCCUUGACUCUACUGAGGGAGCACUAUGAACCAAUCAUUUUCAUCGCUCAAGCGGGAUUAUCUUAACCUGCAAAGCAGAUGGUUUUUGAGCACUUGGCUGAUGCCUGAUGCCCAAUUGGGAUUAAUCUCCACAUCCUAACAAGAGGAACGACUAUUUCUCAGGGAACAGAAGUGGAGGUGCAUUCAGACCAUAUGUGUAAAUUUGGGAUCAGCUUUCUGUGAUGAAACUGGAAGCGAAUCCCAGAUGAGAGGCUCAACUGUUUCAGAAGAACAUUGCAAAGCCCAGCGCUCCUAACCAAGUUGUCACACACAGAGCAGAACUAUUGAUGAGAGCCAUCCAACAUCUGUUGCCUGGGUAACCAUCAAUCCACUAAGCCGGCUCUGAGUCAUAAAUGGCAUGGGGAGAAGGUCUGCUGGGAUAGAGGGCAGUGCAAACUCUUUUCAUCCUUCCCCAUCUCCAGAUGUGGCCUACGGCUGCCAUACAAGGUUAAUAGAAGCCUAUUAUCAAAUCCCUAAAGACCUAAAAGAAACCCUCUUUCCCUGACCCUCACUCAAAGUUUCUUGGACCUCCAUUAGUUUUUUCACAAAACCUCCCCAGAUUCUUAACAGUGCUUAGCAUAUUACCAUUGCUAAGCAGCACUACUCAAAAUGCCAGUCUGCUGAUUGGUGCUACGUUAUUCCACACCAGCAUCUGGCUCCCAGCCCGCACUUGGAGUAGCACUGGGCUAGAGCACCUACUCCUUAGGACCACUGUGGUAGCCAGUCAGAGCUCACACACUUACCGUGACUUUCACUUGGGACUUUGGUAACGGGAAAACCUACUACAUGGUUCUCCUUUCAUGUAUUCCAUCACAUCCAAUAUGCUGAACACAAUGUAGAGAGCAAAAUGAAUAAUAUGCCUUUGCAGAGCAACUAGUUCUAGUUCUCUAAAAAUACUCCAAGAUGUAUUCCCAAAAGAACUGAAAAUAAUUUUCAAGCAAAAACUUAUACAUAAAUGUUCAUAGCAGCACUAUUUACCACAGCCAAAAGGUGGAAACAACCCAAAUGUCCAUCAGUGGAUGAAUGGAUAAGCAAAAUGUAGUAUAUAAAGAAAAUACAUUACCCACAGUUCCAUCACCCAAAACCAAAUACUGUUCACAUCUUGUUUCAGUUUAUGUUCCAUAGUAAUAAUUCAUACUGCAUAUAUAAUUUAUAUUUUGUUUUCAAACUUUAUGUUAUUUCCAAAGUAUUGCCUGUGUUCCAUAAGUUUCAUGAGCUUAAACUACCAGGUAGAGGUUCCUGAUACAUAUUUCUUAAAUUGCUUCUUAAUAUUGUACUAAUUUAUACUGACCCCCGUAAUAUAUGAAAAUAUC